UAGUGGUAUGAGCUGUUGAGAUGGUCCCUUCCUGCCAUGACCUUUCCAUGAUCAUCAGAUUCCUCUACUGGGUGGCCAUUAGCCUAAUGGGCCUUUCAGCUAUGAGAGUCACCCAGAUCCCCAGCCACCUGGUUACAGAGAAGGGACAGAUGGUGACACUGAGAUGUGAUCCCAUUUCUUCACAUGCUGUCCUGUUCUGGUACCAUCAGAACCAAGGGCCAGGGCUGGAGCUUCUGUAUUACUUUCAGAACAAUGAAGAAAUGGAAAAGCCAGUGUUGUUGUCCAAGAGAUACUCAGCUAAAUGGCCCAAAGCAUCAUUCUCCAGUCUGGAAAUUAAAUCUCUAGAGCCUCAGCCUUGCUCCCCUGUGCCAGUCGUCUAUCCACAAUGCUACAGAGUCAUCUGA